rnacentral:tRNA from 1 species
GGUGGCGUCGCCAAGUGGUAAGGCAGGGGCCUGCAAAGCCCCCAUUCCCCGUUUCGAAUCCGGGCGCCAACU